UAACAACCAGAUAGACCUUAUCAAAGCAAAGGAAGCUUCCUGAUCUUGGUGAUGGAAAUUUCAGAUUAUGAGUGGGUCAACUUUUCUCGUCAAUAAAUGAACUGAUGAAUCUAAAAUAAACAAAGUGAUCAAGAUAGCUGAGGAAGAAGAUCAGAUCGAAGACUAUCUCAAACUCAGGCCUUGGGGCAUUGUUCUUUAUCUUGCAUGAUACUUGAAUAUUUCAUCAAUCACGCAGGUUAGAUGAUGAGUUGGUUUUUGAAAGAAAGCAAACGGCAGAAAGAGGAAAGAUUUCUGUUGAAUGGUAAAACUUUAUUGAAAGAGUUGAUUGCGUCUUCUAAUGAAGGUGAAACUCACGUAGAAGAUGAAAUGGCAGGAACAUAUGGAUUUCUGGCAC